AGAGUUUGAUCCUGGCUCAGGAUGAACGCUGGCGGCGUGCCUAACACAUGCAAGUCGAACGAGCAGCCCACAGUGGAAACACAGUGGGUGGGCGAGUGGCGAACGGGUGCGUAACACGUAGGAACCUGCCCUGGGGAGGGGGAUAACGGCUGGAAACGGCUGCUAAUCCCGCAUGGUCUCGGUGGAGGAGACUCGAUCGAGUAAAGCUCCGGCGCCCUAGGAGGGGCCUGCGGCCUAUCAGGUAGUUGGUGGGGUAAAGGCUCACCAAGCCGAUGACGGGUAGGGGGCGUGAGAGCGUGGCCCCCCACACGGGAACUGAGACACGGUCCCGACGCCUACGGGCGGCAGCAGUGAGAAAUCUUGCGCAAUGGGGGCAACCCUGACGCAGCGACGCCGCGUGCGGGAGGAAGGCCUUCGGGUCGUAAACCGCUUUUCUGGGGGACGAGGAAGGACGGUACCUCAGGAAUAAGUCCCGGCUAACUACGUGCCAGCAGCCGCGGUAAAACGUAGGGGGCGAGCGUUAUCCGGAAUCACUGGGCGUAAAGGGCGUCUAGGCGGCGGGCCAAGUCCCGCGUGAAAGCUUCUGGCUCAACUGGGAGARGGCGCGGGAAACUGGCUGGCUAGAGACUCGGAGAGGGGUGUGGAAUUCCCGGUGGAGUGGUGAAAUGCGUUGAGAUCGGGAGGAACACCAGAGGCGAAGGCGGCACCCUGGCCGAGGUCUGACGCUGAAGCGCGAAAGCGUGGGGAGCGAACGGGAUUAGAUACCCCGGUAGUCCACGCCGUAAACGAUGACAACUAGGUGUUGGGGGUCCAAGGACGUUCAGUGCCGCAGCAAACGCGAUAAGCUGUCCGCCUGGGGAGUACGGCCGCAAGGCUUAAACUCAAAGGA
rnacentral:rRNA from 1 species